GGUUUUGUAGUGUAAUGGCUAGCACUCGGGAUUUUGACUAGUCGUUGGAAACACCGCUUCUACCAAAUUUCCCGCAAUCUGGGUUCGAUCCCCAGCAAGACCU
rnacentral:tRNA from 1 species